rnacentral:rRNA from 1 species
GGGCCCGCACAAGCGGUGGAGCAUGUGGUUUAAUUCGAUGAUACGCGAGGAACCUUACCAGGGCUUAAAUGUAGUAUGACCGGCUUGGAAACAGGCCUUCUCUUCGGAGCAGAUUACAAGGUGCUGCAUGGUUGUCGUCAGCUCGUGCCGUGAGGUGUUAGGUUAAGUCCUGCAACGAGCGCAACCCCUAUUCUUAGUUGCCAGCGGUUCGGCCGGGGACUCUAAGAAGACUGCCAGCGCAAGCUGAGAGGAAGGUGGGGAUGACGUCAAAUCAUCACGGCCCUUACGUCCUGGGCUACACACGUGCUACAAUGGUAGAGACAGAGGGCAGCCACCUGGUGACAGGGAGCGAAUCCUUAAAGCCCUUCCCAGUUCGGAUUGGAGUCUGCAACUCGACUCCUUGAAGUUGGAGUCGCUAGUAAUCG